AGUUGCGGCCAUAUUCUCAGAUGAGCUCCGGUACCCAUCUGAACACCGAAGAUAAGCCUGUGCAAGCCUACGCCAGUACUGAGUUGAGAGAUCACUCGGGAACGCUGGGUGCUGCAAUUU
rfam:Enterospora canceri strain GB1 scaffold_815, whole genome shotgun sequence.